rnacentral:lncRNA from 1 species
GGAGUUGGGUGGAAUUUGUAUCAAUUCAUGCCUUGGCAUUGGAGUGGUGAUACAUAUGAAGGAGAUGAUGAUAUCUCAGGCUCAACCCAGAGGAAAAUAACAAUGUUGGCACAAACUCUAAGGAAAGCAUAACAUUAAAGAAAAAGACAUACAAAUUCUGCCAUGGUGGACUGAUACCAAAGUCAUCAAGUGUAUUUAGGUCAUUGCAUAUCGGAACCCUGGAGGAGGUGGCAGAAGUGAACAAACCUGAUUUCCUUGUCAACCCAGAGAAAUACUUCAGGGAAAAGCCAGAGGAGGGAUGCCCU